AAUAAGUGCAGUUUUACACUAUUCACAUUCAACAUUUGACCAUUCGUCUUAUUUAAAAUUUUUUUAUGAUUAGUAUUUUUAUUGCUAUUAGAUGAUAAAACAUGAAUGAUACUUUAUAUGUGACUAAAUAUUUUCAAAUUUUUCACAAUUUUUUGAAAUAAGAUGGAUGGUUAAACGCUGGGCAUGGAUAUCCAUGGCUGCACUUAUU
rfam:Oryza rufipogon genomic scaffold, chr07